rnacentral:rRNA from 1 species
GACGAACGCUGGCGGCGUGCUUAACACAUGCAAGUCGUACGGUAAGGCCCUUUCGGGGGUACACGAGUGGCGAACGGGUGAGUAACACGUGAGUAACCUGCCCACAACUUUGGGAUAACGCUAGGAAGCUGGUGCUAAUACUGGAUAUGUGCUCCUGCUGCAUGGUGGGGGUUGGAAAGCUCCGGGGGUUGUGGAUGGACUCGCGGGCUAUCAGCUUGUUGGUGGGGUAGUGGCCUACCAAGGCGGCGACGGGUAGCCGGCCUGAGAGGGUGACCGGCCACAUUGGGACUGAGAUACGGCCCAGACUCCUACGGGAGGCAGCAGUGGGGAAUAUUGCACAAUGGGCGCAAGCCUGAUGCAGCAACGCCGCGUGCGGGAUGACGGCCUUCGGGUUGUAAACCGCUUUCAGCAGGGACGAAGCUUUUUGUGACGGUACCUGCAGAAGAAGCACCGGCUAACUACGUG